UCGAGGAUCUUCGGCAAUGGGCGCAAGCCUGACCGAGCGACGCCGCGUGCGGGAUGAAGGCCUUCGGGUUGUAAACCGCUGUCAGAGGGGAUGAAAUACAGGUGGGUUCUCCCAUCUGCUUGACAUAUCCUCAGAGGAAGUACGGGCUAAGUUCGUGCCAGCAGCCGCGGUAAGACGAACCGUACGAACGUUAUUCGGAAUCACUGGGCUUAAAGGGUGCGUAGGCUGCGCAGAAAGUUGGGUGUGAAAUCCCUCGGCUUAACCGAGGAACUGCGCCCAAAACUACUGUGCUCGAGGGAGAUAGAGGUGAGCGGAACUUAGGGUGGAGCGGUGAAAUGCGUUGAUAUCCUAAGGAACACCGGUGGCGAAAGCGGCUCACUGGGUCUCUUCUGACGCUGAGGCACGAAAGCUAGGGUAGCGAACGGGAUUAGAUACCCCCGUAGUCC
rnacentral:rRNA from 1 species